AUGCAGUCGAGCGACAGAUAAGGAGCUUGCUCCUUUGACGUUAGCGGCGGACGGGUGAGUAACACGUGGGUAACCUACCUAUAAGACUGGGAUAACUUCGGGAAACCGGAGCUAAUACCGGAUAACAUUUGGAACCGCAUGGUUCUAAAGUGAAAGAUGGUUUUGCUAUCACUUAUAGAUGGACCCGCGCCGUAUUAGCUAGUUGGUAAGGUAACGGCUUACCAAGGCGACGAUACGUAGCCGACCUGAGAGGGUGAUCGGCCACACUGGAACUGAGACACGGUCCAGACUCCUACGGGAGGCAGCAGUAGGGAAUCUUCCGCAAUGGGCGAAAGCCUGACGGAGCAACGCCGCGUGAGUGAUGAAGGGUUUCGGCUCGUAAAACUCUGUUAUUAGGGAAGAACAAACGUGUAAGUAACUGUGCACGUCUUGACGGUACCUAAUCAGAAAGCCACGGCUAACUACGUGCCAGCAGCCGCGGUAAUACGUAGGUGGCAAGCGUUAUCCGGAAUUAUUGGGCGUAAAGCGCGCGUAGGCGGUUUCUUAAGUCUGAUGUGAAAGCCCACGGCUCAACCGUGGAGGGUCAUUGGAAACUGGGAAACUUGAGUGCAGAAGAGGAAAGUGGAAUUCCAUGUGUAGCGGUGAAAUGCGCAGAGAUAUGGAGGAACACCAGUGGCGAAGGCGACUUUCUGGUCUGUAACUGACGCUGAUGUGCGAAAGCGUGGGGAUCAAACAGGAUUAGAUACCCUGGUAGUCCACGCCGUAAACGAUGAGUGCUAAGUGUUAGGGGGUUUCCGCCC
rnacentral:rRNA from 1 species